AAAAAGUUGUACAUCCGUGAACUGUAGCAAGCAAGACCGCAUGGACUUUUCAAGGGACAAAGUGGUCUUUAAACGUAAACUUUAGAAAAUAGCCGAAAGAAGUGUUCCGAAGCUCUCACACAGACUAACUGCUGCUCUUCCCUCCUUUUUAGCAUAUACUUUUCUUCUGCUAUUUAUGUUUCUUUGUAGAGUUUCACUGAACUAUUGAUUUCUCUUUCCGAGCUGUAAAUUUUGAAGUUUUGACUUGAGAGCCGGUAAAAAAGUUAGAAAGCCAGCAGCUUGGCUUCUAGGUUUUUAUCAACCAACUCAGUUGCAGAAACAAGUUGUAUAACAGCUAAAUACCUGCUUCAUGCUAUUAAAAAACAAACUUAAGUUUUAUCUCCCCGUCUGCGUGCAUGUGAGAAGACAGAUACAAGGAAUAUAUAAUUUAUACAAAAGAGGGUAUGUUCUUUUGAUGUGGUUGCUUAAACAGCAUGACUUGAUAUAACAGUUGAUUAAACAGUGCCAAGGAAUAAAAGCUAUUCUUAAUGGUGUGGGAUACUGCAAAUCUUUUAUCACCCCUCUUACCUUGUCCCCCUCCCCAGGGAAAGAUGAUCGAUAUCCCAGGCACUAGACGGGUGGACAUCGCAAUGAAGAAGUAUAGAGAAUAAGGAUAAACUCCCUCAUUAUCAGAUUGCCAUAUGUACAAAGCAGUCACCCAAAGAUUAACAGGAAAGGAAACGCAAAGAAGGAAUUAAUUAAAUGUAUUUGGAAGUUAUUUUCUUGUCCCUCGGCACAUCGAAUUGUGAUGCGUGUGUAGAUGUGUGUGUGUGUGAGCCUAUCCAAGUGCACAGAGGCGAGAAGUCAUCAUGGCAUAUAUUUCCCUGCUUUCUGAUGACCCAAAAACUUAAGAGAUACUGAAAUAUAGCUGCUCAAGCACCAGCCAUGAGUAAGAGAAUAUCCAGUGUUUAGUCCCAGUUGUAAUGUUGAUUUGCUUUCUUGGUCGUUGGCAGGUGACUUAGAUCCAAUGUUUGCAUCACAUAAACACUGCUAAGAAUAAACCUUCAAAAGAAAUCA
rnacentral:lncRNA from 1 species